rnacentral:rRNA from 1 species
AACGAACGCUGGCGGCAGGCUUAACACAUGCAAGUCGAACGGGUGUAGCAAUACAUCAGUGGCAGACGGGUGAGUAACACGUGGGAACCUUCCUAGGGGUACGGAACAACUCAGGGAAACUUGAGCUAAUACCGUAUACGUCCGUGAGGAGAAAGAUUUAUCGCCCUUAGACGGGCCUGCGUCGGAUUAGCUGGUUGGUGGGGUAACGGCCUACCAAGGCGACGAUCCGUAGCCGAUCUUAGAGGAUGAUCAGCCACACUGGGACUGAGACACGGCCCAGACUCCUACGGGGGGCAGCGGUGGGGAAUCUGGGACAAUGGGCGCAAGCCUGAUGCAGCGACGCCGCGUGAGGGAUGCCGGCCUUCGGGUUGUAAACCUCUUUCAGCACCGACGAAGCGCAAGUGACGGUAGGUGCAGAAGAAGGACCGGCCAACUACGUGCCAGCCGCCGCAGUAA